GGCUCUGUAGCUCAGUUGGUAGAGCGCACGACUGAAAAUCGUGAGGUCACGGGAUCGACGCCCGUCGGAGCCACCA
rnacentral:tRNA from 79 species